rnacentral:rRNA from 1 species
AGUGAACGCUGGCGGUAGGCCUAACACAUGCAAGUCGAACGGCAGCACAGUAAGAGCUUGCUCUUACGGGUGGCGAGUGGCGGACGGGUGAGGAAUACAUCGGAAUCUACUCUUUCGUGGGGGAUAACGUAGGGAAACUUACGCUAAUACAGCAUACGACCUACGGGUGAAAGCAGGGGUUCUUCGGACUUUGCGCGAUUGAAUGAGCCGAUGUCGGCUUAGCUAGUUGGCGGGGUAAAGGCCCACCAAGGCCACGAUCCGUAGCUGGUCUGAGAGGAUGAUCAGCCACACUGGAACUGAGACACGUUCCAGACUCCUACGGUAGGAAGCAGUGGGGAAUAUUGCGCAAUGGGCGAAUGCCUGAUCCAGCAAUACCGCGUGAGUGAUGAAGGCCUUCGGGUUGUAAAGCCCUGUUGUUGGGAAAGAAAAACAGCAGGUUAAUCCCCCACUGUUCUGACGGUACCCAAAGAAUAAGCACCGGCUAACUUCGUG